GAGUUUGAUCCUGGCUCAGGAUGAACGCUGGCGGCGUGCUUAACACAUGCAAGUCGAACGAGGCCCAACCUUCGGGUGAAGACCGAGUGGCGAACGGGUGAGUAACACGUGGGGAACCUACCCUUCUCUCUGGGAUAACGCCGAGAAAUCGGCGCUAAUACCGGAUACUCCUUGCGGAUCGCAUGGUCUGCUUGGGAAAGCUCCGGCGGAGAGGGACGGCCCCGCGGCCCAUUAGCUAGUUGGUGAGGUAACGGCCCACCAAGGCGACGAUGGGUAGCCGAGCUGAGAGGCUGAUCGGCCACACUGGGACUGAGACACGGCCCAGACUCCUACGGGAGGCAGCAGUGGGGAAUCUUGCGCAAUGGGCGAAAGCCUGACGCAGCAACGCCGCGUGCGGGAUGAAGGCCCUCGGGUCGUAAACCGCUUUCAGCAGGGAUGAAACUGACAGUACCUGCAGAAGAAGCCCCGGCUAAAUACGUGCCAGCAGCCGCGGUAAUACGUAUGGGGCAAGCGUUAUCCGGAUUUAUUGGGCGUAAAGCGCGCGUAGGCGGCUUGUUAAGUCAGAUGUGAAAUCCGGGGGCUCAACCCGCGGCUUGCAUCUGAAACUGGCAGGCUUGAGUCUGGUAGAGGAAAGUGGAAUUCCUGGUGUAGCGGUGAAAUGCGCAGAUAUCAGGAGGAACACCAGUGGCGAAGGCGGCUUUCUGGGCCACGACUGACGCUGAGGCGCGAAAGCUAGGGGAGCGAACAGGAUUAGAUACCCUGGUAGUCCUAGCCGUAAACGAUGGGCACUAGGUGUGGGGGGUCAUCGACUCCCUCCGUGCCGAAGCUAACGCAUUAAGUGCAACGCCUGGGGAGUACGGCCGCAAGGCUAAAACUCAAAGGAAUUGACGGGG
rnacentral:rRNA from 1 species